UGCAGUCGAGCGAACUGAUUAGAAGCUUGCUUCUAUGACGUUAGCGGCGGACGGGUGAGUAACACGUGGGCAACCUGCCUGUAAGACUGGGAUAACUUCGGGAAACCGAAGCUAAUACCGGAUAGGAUCUUCUCCUUCAUGGGAGAUGAUUGAAAGAUGGUUUCGGCUAUCACUUACAGAUGGGCCCGCGGUGCAUUAGCUAGUUGGUGAGGUAACGGCUCACCAAGGCCACGAUGCAUAGCCGACCUGAGAGGGUGAUCGGCCACACUGGGACUGAGACACGGCCCAGACUCCUACGGGAGGCAGCAGUAGGGAAUCUUCCGCAAUGGACGAAAGUCUGACGGAGCAACGCCGCGUGAGUGAUGAAGGCUUUCGGGUCGUAAAACUCUGUUGUUAGGGAAGAACAAGUACAAGAGUAACUGCUUGUACCCUUGACGGUACCUAACCAGAAAGCCACGGCUAACUACGUGCCAGCAGCCGCGGUAAUACGUAGGUGGCAAGCGUUAUCCGGAAUUAUUGGGCGUAAAGCGCGCGCAGGCGGUUUCUUAAGUCUGAUGUGAAAGCCCACGGCUCAACCGUGGAGGGUCAUUGGAAACUGGGGAACUUGAGUGCAGAAGAGAAAAGCGGAAUUCCACGUGUAGCGGUGAAAUGCGUAGAGAUGUGGAGGAACACCAGUGGCGAAGGCGGCUUUUUGGUCUGUAACUGACGCUGAGGCGCGAAAGCGUGGGGAGCAAACAGGAUUAGAUACCCUGGUAGUCCACGCCGUAAACGAUGAGUGCUAAGUGUUAGAGGGUUUCCGCCCUUUAGUGCUGCAGCUAACGCAUUAAGCACUCCGCCUGGGGAGUACGGUCGCAAGACUGAAACUCAAAGGAAUUGACGGGGGCCCGCACAAGCGGUGGAGCAUGUGGUUUAAUUCGAAGC
rnacentral:rRNA from 2 species